AGAAUAGCCCCUGCCCCUCUCUCUUAGCUUACUAUGAUACCAUCAUGAUUUCAUGUGGCUUAUUAGGAGGCAAAAAUGAGAGAAGGGAUAUUUGUAACUGGCUUGAUUCUAAACUUUGAGCUUAAGGAGAGCUCUAGUAGCCUCCUCUAUCCCAUCCCCACGCAUGGGAAUAAAACUUGCCUCCUCUCUCUGCCCAUAUUCUUUCCUGAAGCCAGGCUCUUGAACUAGGCUCUGGGAAUGACUACACCGUGAAACUGACGUAAUAGAAGACUCGCCACUCACCCAUGAGAUGAAGGAAGGUGGACAUGGUGGCCCAUUUGUUCCAGUCUUUGAAGAUUUGUAUACAGGGAGACGGAUAUUAUCCAAAAAGGGACACAGAUUCUACACACCAGAGACCCAAGGCUAUGAGAAAUUCUACUCAUCCACUCUGCCUUCCACCUUCAGUUCUCAUCAGGAGUUCUCACCCUCAUAAUCACACCAGCAAUUAUGUUUUAAAGCAUGGAACAGCACCAGAAACUCACUGUGAUGAGCUCUCAGAUGGAUGCAAAUGGACACACUGGCAGAGAAAUGUGGAUGAUUUCUAACUUUGCCCGCUUAUUCCCAGUACUGCUAUCCUAACUCAUCACUCUUGGGGCAAAACUGUUUUUCUUUGCUUCAAUAUUAUAAAUCUGAGACCCCAAACUUCACUAAUCUAUCCAAGGAAUGGAAAUAGCCCUGACUUUCAUAUAAGGUUUUUGAAGGGUUCUUUGUCAUGAGAAUAAAUAAGUUUAUCUACUUUAAGUCACAGAACCCAUAGGGCAUCUGUGUGGUUGAGUCAACAUGGUUGGAAUGAGAUGGAGGUGGGAUAUAUUCAAAUAUCCAGUGAUUUUAUAUAAUACUGGAACCCCCAAACUAGAAUGGAAUCUUAGAUCUAGAUUGGGUAUUAGAAGUUCUCAGACUGACAAAUCUACAAUUUAGUGAUGUCCCAAAUAUCUGGUAGGACUAAAAAGGAAUUGCCCACUGGUUAAGUUGCACAUGGCAGUCCAGUAUCUCCUUAACAGUUAGCAUGUGUUGGGAUCAUUGGGCACCCCGCAUGGAGGUGGGGAAGUACAGAAUAUAGAACAACUCAGCUGAACUGGAAGAUUGAAUGGGGACAGAGAACAGAUAAUUAUAGUAACCUUUUAUUAUCAUAACAUUAAUUUAAUUUGAUCUUUUUAGUUGCUUAUGCAGUAACCUGUAAUGGAGGAGAAGCAUCAGUCUUCCAUUUUCUAUAGAAAGAGUCACAGUCCUUACGCCUGCCCUACAAGGCAUUGACUUUAGAAAUUCAUAAACUAGAUACUCAUGUGACUGCUUAUUGAGAAGAAUUCCUAGCUCAGAGUCCUAUUCCUGUGUCACAUGAGCCUUAAAUAAAAGCAGGUAGAAGAUGAGAUAUGGUUUAAAUGUCUUUAUACUUUAGAACCUGUACCUUCACUCCCUUGUCUAUUACUCUUAGUGUUCUUUGCUCUCUCCCUCUUCUCUUGCAUCAUUACUUUAUUCCCAGGAAAAAGAAUCAGAAUCCUAAUGUAAACUAUGUGCUUAAAUGUAUAAAUCUCUAAUAUGGCUUAACAUGUUACCCUUCCUGGGAUUAUUUUCAUUUAAAUGACAGAUGAGCAGCUCAGUGCUAAAGGAAUAUAUCCAUGUGGGAAGCCAGUAGUUGGAGUGGAGUGGAGAGUAAAGGGAAGGUUUCCUUGGGACCUCUGAAAUCACACCAUGGACCAUAUACCGUUUGUAAGGCCAGACCCAUUCCAGUAUAACUGCCCAUCUUAAGCUGAUUCUCAUCUAUAAAGAGUUCCUCAGACAGGAAGAAGAGUCUAUGACAUUCAAGUGAAGAAAGCAAAUGCUCUCCCAAAGUAUUUGGCAGUCUACUGAGCAAACAUUUGUUAUAUGGCUUUGGGCUCAGAGAGCGUGUAAGUUAUGGCCACAAAACCUGGAAAUGCCUAGUGUACUCAUCAAUAGUACUGCAGCUGCAUUAUUUAUGCACACAUUUGAAUCAUUCCUAACACACCAAACAGACCAUACAGGGUGUUAAGGAAAAACAGGGCUUUUUUAGAGGGAAGGGGAUUAAAAGAAUAAAGUGAUUCCUGGAGUAGCAUUUUCCAGAGGCUAUUGCCCAAUCUGUUCUUCUUUCCCUGAAUCCUGAACUAACUAAAAAACAAACAAAAAGCAAAAAGAGAAACCCUAGUUUUUAAAUGAGAUGUGCAGGUGACCAGCACACUGCAGUUUUGGUAACAUGGUUUCUUCACCUCCCAUGCAGAGAAUUACCCCUUAGGCAACUCCUGAUGACCAUGGAAGACUGGGUAGGUGAUAUUCACUUAAUCAUAUAGACGACUCAUAUUUUAUCACAUUGCACAUGCGUUUUGGCACUACUAAACCACCAACAUUUAAUGGAAUCAUUUGGGAUUUUUUUCACCUAAUUACAACAUGGCUGUGGC
ensembl:lncRNA